rnacentral:pre_miRNA from 1 species
CAACUAUUUUCUCCGUUUGAAAAUACUUGUCAAAAAGAUGAAUAUAUCUUAGACGUAUUUUAGUUCUAUAUACAUUCAUUUCUAUUUAUUUUCACGACAAGUAAUUUCGGACGGAGGGAGUACUAU